rnacentral:rRNA from 1 species
UACGUAGGGUGCGAGCGUUAAUCGGAAUUACUGGGCGUAAAGGGCGCGUAGGCGGCCAUCUAAGUCAGACGUGAAAUCCCCCGGCUUAACCUGGGAACUGCGUCUGAUACUGGACGGCUUGAGUAUGGGAGAGGGAUGUAGAAUUCCAGGUGUAGCGGUGAAAUGCGUAGAUAUCUGGAGGAAUACCGGUGGCGAAGGCGGCAUCCUGGACCAUUACUGACGCUGAGGCGCGAAAGCUAGGGGAGCAAACGGG